rnacentral:rRNA from 1 species
UACGUAGGGUGCAAGCGUUAAUCGGAAUUACUGGGCGUAAAGCGCACGUAGGCGGAUUGUUAAGUCAGGGGUGAAAUCCUGGAGCUCAACUCCAGAACUGCCUUUGAUACUGAGGAUCUCGAGUCCGGGAGAGGUGAGUGGAACUCCGAGUGUAGAGGUGAAAUUCGUAGAUAUUCGGAAGAACACCAGUGGCGAAGGCGGCUCACUGGCCCGGUACUGACGCUGAGGUGCGAAAGCGUGGGGAGCAAACAGG